GCCGUGAUAGUGUAAUGGUAACACAUUACGUUGUGGCCGUAAUAAUCCAGGUUCGAUUCCUGGUCACGGCA